CCCAUAUUAUAGGGAACACACCAUAUAAAAAAAUUAAAAUAUCCAGGGGUCGUAUCACUCGUCACGUAAAAGUAUGUAUUUCGUAUUAUGACAUACGUGAUCGCAACGCUUAUAUCGUAAUCUGGCAUGGUGACAUACGUGAGCGAGUAUAUAAACGUAUCCGUUCGUUCGAACCGUCAUUCGAACACAAACUACCGAUCGUAACAGACGAAUUUAUUUAAAAAUGACAAAGUAUAAUAAACUAAAUCCUACUAAAAAAGAUGAAAUGGCGGAAUUCAUGUCAAGCCAUCCAUACUUGGCAAAAAAUAACUUUCCAAAUUCCGCGCAAGGAAGAAUUGCUUCCAAUAAUUUAUGGGAGGAACUGGCGAAGCAGCUUAAUGCCGUGAGGCCACCAGUUAAAGAUGCUAAGUUGUGGAGGAAGGUUUUUGGUGAUCAAAAAUACCAAGCAAAAAAAAAAGCUUUCCUUCAAUAAGGCAUUGAAGCAGCGAACUGGUGGAGGGCCCUAUAACGGAAAACUGAUCACUGUGACGGACGAACUGUUAAUCGAAGCAGCUGGACUCGAAGCUUGCGUAGAGGGCAUAACAAAUGUUUCUGCAUUUGGAAAUAACCCAACUACGCAAGCUUCGACGUUUAUAGUUAACUGUGAUAGUAGUGAUGAGGAGGCAAACCCUUUCCCCAGCUCUUUACCAUGCCCAACAACUUCAACACAGUCGCUACAACAACAACGUCAACAGAAAAAACUCCACGCACACCGAGGAGAAAAAGUAGGAGUGACGAAAAGUUGGAAUUACUUCAACAAAACAUGAAGUCGCUAUCAGUUUUUCAAAAAGGCAUAGACCAGAAGCUUGAGAGGUUAGUAGCAGCACAAGAAAAAAUGCUGGCCCUACAAGAAAAAUUGUUUGCUAUUAAGAUAGAAAAGCACCGCAUCCAACAAUCGACACGACAGUUAGACCACGAAAUAACAAAAUUGGAGCUCGAAACCUUACGAAGAAAAUUAUUAUAAAACUUGGUACUUGAAUGUAUAUAUUUUUAGUUUUAAGCGUUUAAUGAAUUUUUUAAUUUAAUAGAGCUUUAUUUAUUUUUGAAUUUUAAUUAUUUAGUAUUUAAGAAAUGUGAUAAAAGCAACAAACGUGAUGAAACGACUAAUUAAAAUUAAAAUAAUGAAUUUAUGUGAACAAAA